rnacentral:rRNA from 1 species
CUUUUUGAAUAUAAUUUAAGGUCUAACCUGCCCAAUGAUUAAUUUUAAAUGGCCGCGGUAAUUUGACCGUGCAAAGGUAGCAUAAUCAUUAGUUUUUUAAUUGAAAGCUUGUAUGAAAGGUUUAAUGAAAAAUUAGCUGUCUCUUAUUAAAUUAUUAGAAUUUUAUUUUUAAGUUAAAAAGCUUAAAUAAUUAUGGAAGACGAGAAGACCCUAUAGAGUUUUAUAUACUUAUUAAUUGUAUAUUUUUAGAAUUAAGUGUUAUAGUUAGUAUGUGUAAUUAAUUGGGGUGAUUGAAAAAUUAAAUUAACUUUUUUUUUAUGUUUACAUUUAUUUAUGAGUAUUUGAUCCUUAUAUUAAGAUUAUAAGAUUAAAUUACCUUAGGGAUAACAGCGUUAUUUUUUUUUAGAGUUCUAAUCGAAAAGAAAGAUUGCGACCUCGAUGUUGGAUUAAAAUAUAAAUUUGGUGUAGAAGCUAAA